rnacentral:rRNA from 1 species
UACGUAGGGCGCAAGCGUUAUCCGGAAUUAUUGGGCGUAAAGAGCUCGUAGGCGGCUGUCCACGUCGGGUGUGAAAGCUCAGGGCUCAACCCUGAGAUGCCAUUCGAUACGGGACGGCUAGAGGUAGGUAGGGGAAAGUGGAAUUCCUGGUGUAGCGGUGAAAUGCGCAGAUAUCAGGAGGAACACCAAUGGCGAAGGCAGCACUCUGGGACGUGACUGACGCUGAGACGCGAAAGCGUGGGGAGCAAACAGG